UACGUAGGGGCCGAGCGUUGUCCGGAGUUAUUGGGCGUAAAGCGCGCGCAGGCGGCCUCGCGCGCCCGACGUGAAAGCCCCCGGCUUAACCGGGGAGGGUCGUUGGGGACGGCGGGGCUUGAGGGCGGGAGAGGGUGGUGGAAUUCCUGGUGUAGUGGUGAAAUGCGUAGAGAUCGGGAGGAACACCCGUGGCGAAGGCGGCCACCUGGGCCGACCCUGACGCUGAGGCGCGAAGGCGUGGGGAGCGAACGGG
rnacentral:rRNA from 1 species